rnacentral:rRNA from 1 species
GACGAACGCUGGCGGCGUGCCUAAUACAUGCAAGUCGAACGCUUUUUCUUUCACCGGAGCUUGCUCCACCGAAAGAAAAAGAGUGGCGAACGGGUGAGUAACACGUGGGUACCUGCCCAUCAGAAGGGGAUAACACUUGGAAACAGGUGCUAAUACCGUAUAACAAUAUUUUCCGCAUGGAAGAAAGUUGAAAGGCGCUUUUGCGUCACUGAUGGAUGGACCCGCGGUGCAUUAGCUAGUUGGUGAGGUAACGGCUCACCAAGGCAACGAUGCAUAGCCGACCUGAGAGGGUGAUCGGCCACACUGGGACUGAGACACGGCCCAGACUCCUACGGGAGGCAGCAGUAGGGAAUCUUCGGCAAUGGACGAAAGUCUGACCGAGCAACGCCGCGUGAGUGAAGAAGGUUUUCGGAUCGUAAAACUCUGUUGUUAGAGAAGAACAAGGAUGAGAGUAGAACGUUCAUCCCUUGACGGUAUCUAACCAGAAAGCCACGGCUAACUACGUGCCAGCAGCCGCCGUAA